UGGCAGGAAGUAGUCUUGGCGCCUUCCCUUGACACCACUUUCCGGAGACUGUUGGAGAAAGAACCGCUUCUUCCUGCCUCCCACGCUGCGCAGCGGCGCUGGUUGCUGGGGAACGCAGGCGCCGUAAGAAGGGAUGGCGGGAGGAUACUGCCUAAGUGCUGGAGCGGGAGUUGAGUUGGUGAGGAAGAGCUCCGGCGAAUCAUGAAACAAAGAAGAGACCAGGAACCUGGGGGCGGCCGUGGGCGCAAAAAGAGAGGUUUGAGUGACAUUUUGCCAUCUACAAGCCUACCACCUCUGGUUGAAGGCCAGCUACGGUGCUUUCUAAAACUUACUAUUAAUAAAGUCAUAUGGAAGAUUACAAAGCCUCCCACUUGUGUACUAGUCCGAGUGAGAUGGUGGGGAGAAACAUCAAAUGGAACCCUCUUUUGUCCCAGAGAUGCAUUACAGACAGAACCAAAAGCUGUGAGAACAACAACACGUUAUGCUAUUCGCUGUGGUCCAAAGCAGUUUACUUCUUAUCUAACAGAUAUGGCUGUUUUGGUGCUGGAAGUAAUCACCAAACUUGAUCAUCUUCCAAUUGGUAGAGUUCAGAUCAAUGGAAUAGCUCAGCUUUCUCCAACUCAUCAAAUCAAUGGAUUUUUUACCAUUGUUUCGCCAACAUCUAAGAAACUUGGAGAACUUCAGGUCUCACUUGCUUUGGAACCUCUGUCAGAAACUUACGACAGCUACAGUCCUCUUCCUCACACUGACAAGACACAGAAUGUCCAUUUAUCUGAGCAGGGAUAUAGAACGAAUAUAGAAUCCAGCAAUACCCAAUUUCUGAUUCCAUCAAAGUCUCAUGGGAUACCCACCAUCAAAAUUGAUGGAAAAGAAGCAGCCAACAGUAGUAGACCAAGCACACCAAGGGGUAAGGAUCACUUGUACUUUGCAGAGCACUCUGAUACAAUAAAGGAUUCUUUCUUUGAGCUACAGCACCAUCUUAAUUCCAGACAGAGUUUAGAAUCUAUACCUCUAAAAGCCAAAGCUCCACCAAAGCACAUAUCCCUUCUCAACAGUACUGAAUAUCAGCCUCAAAUUAGGAUGGCUGCCAAGAGUCACAGUGACUCAUGCGUUCUUUCUUCAAACAAUCCUCCUACCAAGGACCUUCUUUCAGCUCUGUUAGAACAAGGCAAUAAACUGCGUAAUGCUAUGGUGAUUUCAGCAAUGAAAUCAAGCCCAGAUGCUAUCAUGUUGUUGGACAAAGUUCAUCCUCCUGUGAAGGAAGAUUCUCUUACAUCAUCAACACAGAAUCAACUUAAAGAUCCCGUUGAAGAUCAAGUCCUCUCUCCAACUGAACAUACAUUUAGGAAUCAUGACACAAAAACUGAUAGUAGAGCUAUACAGCUGCUAUUAGGCAGUGCUGAAUUAUCCAAAGAUCAUUGCUGGAAUGGCUUAGGAUCCCCUCCAGAUUCCCCAUCUCCUGGGAGUGAUGUGUAUUGCAGCAGUGAGCCAAAUGACCCUCAGUAUGACCAGAGUCUCCUGGAGAACUUAUUUUAUACAGCACAUAAAUCUGAUAACAGCAUCAGUGAUUUUCUCAGUGAAGAUGAAGAUGUUGUCCCUGCUAAAAAAAUGAACCAAUCAAAAGCUCUUGGAAGAUCUUCUAAGGUUCUGGAGCCAAACAAUCAUAAGCUGAUGAAGAGGGCAGCAAGCAGAAAAAACAAAAAUCUGGCUGAACAGCAGCUGCUUUCAGAAGCUCCAGAAGAUGCCCAAAUAAUGACACUCAGUGUGGAUAGGCUGGCCCUUCUGGGUAGGACACAUUCAGUCAGAAUCAUCAUUGAAACAAUGGGAGUUCCUAUAGAUAGUCCCGAGAUGACCCCAGGCAAAAAAAUCUCUGCUGGGAAACCACCUAAGCUGACAACAGUAAAAAAGCGCACUUUCUUUGUCGAAUAUCACUUUCCUGUGGGAUUUUCCAAAACUGGAUUGGGAAAGACAGCUUUAAUCACUGAAGUUGUUCGACUUGCCUCCAGUAAAAUUACAGAUGGAAUGGUGAAAUUCCAGCAACGAUCUGUGUUUCCAGUACAGUUCGGUGGCUCAAUGAUACAGCACUGGUGGAAUUCUAACCUUACUUUCCAAAUUUAUGGAAAAAAAACUCCUCAGAAAAAGCCAGAAGUUAUUGGCUCUGCAUUACUUCCCUUGCGAGCUGUCAUUCAGUCAGAGCUGCUUUCUUUCACUGACCAACUCCCAGUCCAACAGGAAAAUGGUCAGACUCCAUUUGGCCCCCUGAAGGUAACAAUGGAACUUGUUAGAGAUAACAAGAAUUUCACAGGUGUUAAUACUAAAUUAACUAGCAGCACCCAACAUACCCCACUUGGUGUUGCUACAAGUCCAGAGAAGAAACUACAAGAAUCCAACCAAGAUACUACCCGUACCAGAAAUCCACAGAACCUAAAUCAAAUUCAUGAGGAAAAUACAAAAAAAGCACAGAAUUUGGUGCUUCCCAACCCCAAGUCACCAAGCUCUGUAGCAACAAAUUCUUCAGCCUUCAUGCCAGCAUCCCACAAUUUAGUAAAUCAGACAAAUGAGUCAACAAAAGAAAAUGCCUUGCUAUUGCAUGUGCUGUUGAUGGUGCCAGAUGGAAAAGACUUCAUUACUGGAGAAUCUGAGCCACCAUGCAAUGUUUAUUUAAUUUGCAAAUUCUUCAGCACAGAGGAAGUUACCAGAUCUGUCAUUGCAUGGAGUACAACACAACCAGUCUUUAACUUUUCUCAGGUGAUUCCUGUCUCUCUGUCUUCCAAAUAUCUGGAAAGGCUUAAAAACAAUGUGAUGAUAAUUGAAACUUGGAACAAGGUGCGGAGCCCAGGACAGGACAAGCUGCUCGGGCUGGUGAAACUCCCUCUCCAUCAAUUUUACAUGUCAUUCAAAGAUCCAAAGAUUUCUCGCCUGCUGCUUGAUGCCAGGUACCCAGUUGUUGCUGUGGACAGCUACAUGCCUGUGAUUGAUGUAUUCUCAGGACACCAAAAUGGGAGUCUUCGAGUGUUUUUAGCCAUGGGUUCUUCAGAUCAGAUAAUAGCACUGCAAAGAUUAAAGAAUGAAGAAGGAACACUCCCUCCCUCUGGUCCUAGGCCAGCCCAUUUCCUGGAUCAGCCAUCUGUAGCAUCUGUGGCUAUGGAGGAGGACCAAGGAAAUGGAUUGAUGGAGCACCACUUUGAGUUCCACGUAGAGAUGGUUAAAGGGCUAGUCCCUCUUCAGGCAACAGUCUGGGGAGAAGCAGAUUGUUAUGUCCAGUACUAUUUUCCAUUUCAAGACUCACAGUCCAGUGUGCUCAGAGGACCUGAGUUCCUUGAAAAUGGAAUUACUGUGAAGCCCUGCAGAACUGCAACCACACUCUGCAUUCCAGAUCCCAUCUUUAACAGUGAGCACCAUCAUACUCUCCUGUUGCCAACUGAAGUUCCAGUGCAAAGACUCCUUCUAAGUGCCUUCUCUGCACAGGGGCUUGUGCCUGGAGGUGGCAUCCAGUUUGAAAUCUGGUGCAGGUACUAUUAUCCUAAUGUGAGAGACCAGAUGGUUGCCAAAGGAACCUUGCCAUUAUCGAGGAUCUGUGCCAUGGUAACCAUGCAGCACCGUGAGGAUGUGGGAAUACAGACCUUUAAUCUCCCUUUAAUCCCCAGGUUUGAGAACAGGAAAGAAUUGAGGAGCCAGUCAUCAGGUUUACUGGAUGUGGGCAUAAGGUACUGGCGUAGUCUAAGAACAGCAGAGGGAGUUCUUGCCGCUCGAACUGUCUCCAUCUCGGUACAUAUUAUCAGAGCCUGUGGACUGCAAGCCGCAGCCAAGGCUUUGGCUGAGCAGGAACCUGCUCUACGCUUUAGUGCCACUGUUGGGAUCAAUGCCUCUGUCACUGCUCAUCUCUCGUUCCUGCCCAAGGGAGAACAGCGCCAAACCCGUCCUGUGGCCUGUUCCUUCUGCCCUGAGUUCUCCCAUCACAUUGAGUUCCCAUGUAAUUUGGUAACUCAACACUGUAAUGGAGAGGCCUGUUUCCUGGCAGAGCUAUUGGAGUUUGCAGAAAUUACUUUUGCUAUCUAUCAUGAAAAUACCAAAUCAGUCAGUGAUAUAUCCAGUAUCCAGUCAUGCAAAGAGUAUUUACUUGGAGUAGUAAAGGUUCCAACAAAAGAGCUACUAGUCAAGAGAUCUGGGAUCACAGGAUGGUAUCCUGUCCUUUUACCAGAAGACACAGGCCUGCCUCAUGGCUUGGAGCUUAUGCAAAAGAUUGUGGGUGGUCUGGAACUUUCAGUUUCUUUCACUCGUCCUGGAGAUAGAGAACGGGUACUAGAAGCUGCUGAGCUAUUGGGCUGGAGCUUUGAAAACAACUUGCAGGAUCUUGUCAAGGUAGAUGAGGAGGAGCUAGCCACUGUCACUAUCUCUACUCCAAGACUGUGGCUGCCCAUCCAUUGCAUGUUGUUUGCUGGCCACAACCAUAUUCAUAAGAAUACAUUUUGCUACCUUCGCUACAAGCUAUAUGAUCAUGAAGCCUUCUGGACCCCUCUCAAGAAGCCUAAGGAAUCUGCAAACAAAAACCAGGUCAUGGUUACUUUCAAGGCAUCCAGAAGAGCAGAAGUCACUCGGGGCCCAUCACUGCUUUGGUACUUCAGGGAGGAGAGGCUAGAGAUCCAAGUGUGGAGAGCUUAUGGCAGUGAUAGUGUGGAGAGGCCCCACCAGACAGACAGCUGGAUUGGAUCAGCCUACGUGGACUUGGCCAGACUUGGGGAGAGGUCAGCAAGAACACUAACUGUCAGUGGUGUAUAUCCUCUGUUUGGACGAAAUGCUUCUAACCUAUCAGGAGCUGCCUUGCGAGUUCAUGUGGUUCUUUCCUGUCUUUCUCCACACAUUGAGCCCACUCGUGAGAGCCUACUCUCCAUGGACUGCAGCAGCCACAGUGAGUCUGAGCAGCUUCCCAGAGGAAAUGAUGAGAUGCAGCUCUCUCCACCCUGUGGCCACCAGAAGUCUUCUGCAUCUACCCAGGUGCCCUGCAACAGCACCACAGCUGAAGUCUGCCUAGCUCAGGAGGCCCCUGCUGGGUUGGAUGGAACUUUUGCCGUCAGCAUCCUGGUAGAAAGAGCAAUGCACUUGAGUUUGAAAGGGAGCCCCUUGACCGAGCGGAAAGUACCCAUACCCAGUUGUUGUGUAUCCUUUGCAACAGCAGAUGAGCCAUCUCCUGUAUACACCCAAGUGGUUGAAAACACAGAUUCCCCCAUCUGGAACUUUCAACAUCAGUCAAGGCUAUCAAAAGAGCUUCUUCUGGACCCACAGCAAACUCUGGUCUUCAAAGUCUGGCAUAAAGGAGAUGAGGAGAGAGUGAUUGGUUUUGCCUCAGUGGAUCUCUCCCCGCUGCUCUCUGGCUUCCAGUUUAUCUGUGGCUGGUACAACAUUACCGAUUUCAGUGGAGAGUGCCAAGGGCAAAUAAAAGUUGCCAUCUCCCCUCUGGAGAGUUUGAUACACUUCAAAGAAGAGAGGCAAGCAAGACGUGGGAUGGAGACCCAAGCAUCACUGAUCCCAAUGUACAGUCCCUUUUCCUUCCCUGCCUCUGAUAUAUAUGCUGGGUUCCCCAGCUGUAUUGCAAGACACACUCAAGACCAGCUUACUCACACCUCUUCAAAGGACCUUGAUUUCUCCUCUCCUGGAAGAAGUAGUACCACAAGAAGCCCAGCAUCACGUCAUGAAGAGCAUAUGCAGAACAUCCGCCGAUUUCAUGAAUCCCUGCAGCAGGGAGAGGUAGUCUCAACAAGUGACAACAAACUCACCAAGUCACCUUUGUCUUCCAACACCUCCAUUCUGACUUCUCUAAGGAAGAAUCUGAGUGAGCUAGAUGAGAUCCAGCAGUAUUUCAGCCAAAAGCUCACCAAGCCUUUCCUGCCUCUCAGCCCUCACACUAAUACUGCCAUCUUUCAGUGCCAGGAGAACCACAGGGACCAGUCUGGGCCAGGAGUCAGCAGCCUAGACCCUCAGAACCAGUGCAUUCUGGAGAAAUCCAGUAACCUGGUGUUGCAAAUCAGCUCCUUAAUUUCAGAUCUCCAGACAAUCACCAGGAAUUCUCAAGCAGCUUUGACUUCUCAUCAAGCAAGGAGUAGAAGCCAAGAGGUCACCACCCUCCCAGAUGCUCAGGAUACAGAGGCCAUGCAAGAACGGAGCACAACUCCAGAUGUGCCACUGGCAAGAGCUGCAGAGGAGGGCACAAAUUCCCCACCUCCUCCUGCUCUUGAGGAGACUUCUAAUGGAGGAGGAAUGCUCCAUGAGCCCCUGGGACACACAGUACCUGUUAAAAGAAUGCAGAGCAGUGAGGAAACUGAGGCGGGUCCUGCCUACAGUGAUGAGGACUAUGAAGAAGACAUCAUUGAGCCCAGGACCCUAAAUGAGAUCACCACUGUGACAGACAAAACUAGCCCUUGGUCCAGUUUCAUGUCAGACACAAGUGAGGUCAUCAGCCCUCAGCCUGACGAGGAGCAGAGAGGUCUCUCCUCUCUUUCUCCAGGACCUUCACCCAAAGAGAAGCUCAGGGGCAGAAGUACCUUUCUGUCCAGCCCAAAAAUGGCUGUCAACUCCCUCCUACCUAGGCAGGGUGCUCCUAGCCUUGUUGCUUGUGAGGGUGGGGCCUCUAAGGUCAGGGUUGGAGAGCCUGCCUCAACCAACCCUAAGCCUAGCACACACCUUCCACACUCGGGAAUCCAGCGGGCCAAUACUUUUAUUGGGUGGAAUUCAUCACGAGCUGAUCAAGACAAGAAGCCAAAGCCAGAACCUCAGGUUGACAGUGAAGCUGCCUCCAGUGAGCUCAGUGACUCUGCUGAUAGCACUGAGAAAUUCUCUCAACAUCUGGCCUCCCAAAGAAAAAGAGAAAACCAUAAAAAGCCACCCAGGGAGCCCCCUAACAUCAGGCAGAAGCAGGUGACAACUGAAUCAGAGGUAUCUGCAAGGCAGAGCCUCCUCCCGGAGCCCAUUGUUGUACCCAACUUCUUUUUGCCUCCCCAGCAGCUGGAGGCCUCCCUACGGAUGCUCUCACUCUCUACAGCUGUGCCACCACCAGCCACAGCAGAUCAGCCUCCUUCCCACACUGACGCCCAGGGCCUCCAAGUGGCCUCUCUCCUUGGAGCUUGCUGGGCCCCAGAGGGACUGGCUGAUCUUGCUGGGACCAUGGUUGGACUGAAGCCUUCAGAAGUGCCUCCCACAACAGCUGUGAAGUUCCUGGGGGCAGGCUCCGCAGCCUGUUUUGCUGACCUCCUCACAUUUCCGCUAGACACAGCCAAGGUCCGCUUGCAGAUCCAAGGAGAGAACCCAGCAGCCCAGAGGGUGCUGUACCGCGGUGUGCUGGGCACCCUUCUGACCAUGGUGCGCACCGAGGGCCUCCGCAGCCCCUACAAUGGGCUUGUGGCCGGGCUGCAUCGCCAGAUGAGCUUCGCCUCCAUCCGCAUUGGCCUCUACGACUCUGUCAAGCAGUUCUACACCCCUGCAGGAGCAGACUAUGCCAGCAUUGCCAUCCGGAUUCUGGCUGGCUGCACGACAGGGGCCAUGGCGGUAACCUGUGCCCAGCCCACAGAUGUGGUGAAGGUCCGAUUUCAGGCCAGCAUUCGCCUGGGGCCAGGGAGCAACAGGAAAUACAGCGGGACGAUGGAUGCCUACAGAACCAUCACCAGGGAGGAAGGGGUCAGGGGCCUGUGGAAAGGUCGGCUCAGGGGACCUCAGGGAGGCCACAGAGCAAGGAGGGAACUCCCAGAGUGGUUCAUUCCAGUGACGCCAUAAGAACGUCCCAAAUAGGGCCGGGGAUCUAACUCAGUGGUUCUGCCACCUGCCCUGCAAGCACAAGGAUCUGAGUUCGAUCCCAGGUACCAAAAAAAAAAAAAGAAUAUCCCAAACAAGUCCCUCACACACCCACUGCACGGCGGCAGAGUCAAUCCAAUUCACCAACCCUUCACCAUGUACAAUGUGCAGUCUGCUGUGAGGGAGAUAAAAAUCAGUAUGACACUUUACACUCGCAGAGUGCAUUCAGGCAAUAGAGGAGAUAAGACACAUCAAGCAGCUGCUAUACCACAGGCGGGAUGUGCUAGGUGUCCUGCCAGAGGUGUAGACCCAGAGGUUGGAUUGAGCACUCUGGCUCCAAAGAGAAAGGGGCAGCUGACCCGGCCUUAAGGCUGAGCAGGCUCUAGGUGUAUGGAGACGAAGGGCAGAGCCUCCCACGAUCACAGAACAAAAACAGGUACCAGAGGGACACAGCUGUGAGGAGUGGCACACAAUGAGAUGCCAUGAGGGGAGGGUUUCCUCGGGAGCAGAUUUUUGUGUCUGCUAUGUGUCUAUGCAGUGGCCACCUUGACAAAUGUUGGAAUCUCUCCCACAUGUGGACCAGAUCCUUGCAGAAGAAACAGUGGCUUUGUUAAGUGUAAGGGCAACACACCUGGGUCACAGUGCUGACUCUGCACUCUGAUGCUGGGAACCUCUCAGCCUUUCCCUUCCUCACUGAAACCACUCUCUUCAGCCCCUGCCAGUGCCAUAAAUUGUCACUGUCCCAAGGGCCCAGCGUCUACAAAUGACUUCCUUUUCUGGCUGUACCUGGUCUCCUCCCAACCACCAUUGCCCAGGACAAAAGAAAAUCCAGAUUCCUUAGUAGGAUGUGACAGGGCCCUUUACUGCCUAGCUCUGCUUUGUGAACACACAACCUUCUCAAUUGGAGUGGGCUCCCCUGGCUGAGACCACUGCAGUGCAAUACGAUCCCUCCAAACUGGGCCUUAGGACCUUGCACCAGGGACAGCCACUUGUCCCAUUCCCCAUUCAAUACCCCCUGCCACCUUCCUAACAGGAAUUUUGCCCAACAUCACAAGGAAUGCCAUUGUCAACUGUGCUGAGAUGGUGACCUAUGACAUCAUCAAGGAGAAGCUGCUAGACUCCCACCUGCUAACAGACAACUUUCCCUGCCACUUUGUCUCUGCCUUUGGAGCCGGUUUCUGUGCCACAGUGGUGGCCUCCCCUGUGGAUGUAGUGAAGACUCGGUAUAUGAACUCACCCCCAGGCCAAUACCACAGCCCCCUGCACUGCAUGCUGAAGAUGGUGGCCCAGGAGGGCCCCACAGCCUUCUACAACGGGUGAACUUCCCCCUCCCACCUUCCAUCCCUGAAAACUUGGGCUUCUUUUUUAUCUUGAGUACCUAUCACUGAUCCAUCUGGGGAUGCAGUGGUGAACAGUACAAAUGGUGAACAGCUGCAAAGGUCACAAAUAAGUAUAAAGAACAAUAAAAGUUUUUUUAAAAGUGGGCAAAACUUGAUUAGGAUAGUUAGGGGAUCCUUACUGAGAAAUAGGAGCCUAAGGAUAGGUAAAAGGAUAGGUCUAACCCUAAACAUUUUGGGCAAGGGAGGAGAGAAAGGUGGUUAGUAGUCCUGAGACUUCCAGAACCUACUACCAUGACUAUUGAUUGCCACAUUCAUGGCAGCAGAAGUGCCAUACUCACUAUGCCAACACUCAUGUUUUUCAUGCCUUUGCAUUUGCUGUUCCCUCUGCCUGGAAUGCUUGUCCUCACCACCUGUAUUCUCUGAAUCUUAGUCAUCCUCCCAGACUAUUCCUUUUUUUUGAAACAGAGUCUCACUAUGUAGUUCAGGCUGGUGUUGAACUCACUGUGUAGCCCAAGCUGGCCUCGAACUCACAGCAAUCCCUCUGCCUCAGCCUCCCAGGUGCUGGGAUUACAGCCACAUGCCACCACGCUCGGCUCUGCCAGACUAUUCUAAUGCCACCUUCUCCCUAACAUACAUAUGUAAGUUUUCUCUCUCCCUGUCAACGUGGGCAGUACCACUUGAUUCCAUUUUUAUGGCAUUUAUCACUUCCUGCCUUAUAUUACAAUAUUUGUAAGCUUAAAUUUGUCGACAUGCUAGAGUACAAGGUCCUUAGAGCCAAGGACUGGUGGCUCAUCUGUCUUUCAUCUCGUGGAAUCCUUAGCACCAAGCAAGCACUCAGUAACAUGCGAUACUGGCCUUCCCCCUGCUGGCUGAGUCUCUAUGCAUUGGGCCUUGUACUAAGGACCUCACAUAAGUUAUCUCAACAACUCCUGACCUGGGCAGUAGGUCCCCACAUGGACUGAGGAAGAGAUGGUACCUCAGAAAAGUAAUUUGUCUAAGAUCACAAGUUAAAAUUACACUGUGACGGCUCAAACCCAAACCACCUGACAUCACACCAAAGGUGUAGCUGUCUAUCCCACUGGUAAAACUGCUUAGCCCUCUCACCUCCCACCACUGAUGCCUUUGACAGAUAGUUUUCUGGUACCCAAUGUUAGACUGAAUCCAACAAGCAAACAAGAGCCACUAGAGGUUCUCAAA